AUAAAAACCUUCAAGGGGGCCUGCAAAUACAUUUUAAUGUUGUUUUUUGGCUUCUUCAUACUUUUAUAAGCCGAUAGUCACUGUCAAAUUAAUUGUUUUGUUUAAAUUGUGGACAAAAUUGCUCUUUCAAAAUUUCAAUUUGGGAGCCUCCAUGGGGGAAAUCCCCCGCAAAUAGUGACAGUUGGCAGGUAUGGGCCAAUCUAAGAGGUCAAAAUAUGUGUAUUGUAU
rnacentral:lncRNA from 1 species